rnacentral:rRNA from 1 species
CAAAACUUUCAACAACGGAUCUCUUGGUUCUGGCAUCGAUGAAAAACGCAGCGAAAUGCGAUAAGUAAUGUGAAUUGCAGAAUUCAGUGAAUCAUCGAAUCUUUGAACGCACAUUGCGCCCGCCAGUAUUCUGGCGGGCAUGCCUGUCCGACGUCAUUUC